rnacentral:rRNA from 1 species
UACGAAGGGGGCUAGCGUUGCUCGGAAUCACUGGGCGUAAAGGGUGCGUAGGCGGGUCUUUAAGUCAGGGUGAAAUCCUGGAGCUCAACUCCAGAACUGCCCUUGAUACUGAGGAUCUUGAGUUCGGGAGAGGUGAGUGGAACUGCGAGUGUAGAGGUGAAAUUCGUAGAUAUUCGCAAGAACACCAGUGGCGAAGGCGGCUCACUGGCCCGGUACUGACGCUGAGGUGGCGAAAGCGUGGGGAGCAAACAGG